AAUCAACGCUGGCGGCGUGCCUCAGACAUGCAAGUCGAACGCGAAAUUUCCCUUCGGGGAGAAAGUAGAGUGGCGCACGGGUGAGUAACACGUAGGUAAUCUACCUUUGGGUGGGGAAUAACAGCCGGAAACGGCUGCUAAUACCGCAUAAUGCAGCGGCUCGACAUCGAGACAGUUGUUAAAGCGGGGGACGGAGCAAUCCGACCUCGCGCCUGAAGAGGAGCCUGCGGCAGAUUAGCUAGUUGGCAGGGUAAUGGCCUACCAAGGCGACGAUCUGUAACCGGCCUGAGGAGGGCGGGUCGGUCACACUGACACUGACAUACGGGUC
rnacentral:rRNA from 1 species